UAUAUAAUAUUGGUAUAUUAUAUUUUAUAAGAGAUGUAAGGACAUUUUUUAUAAAAUAUGUAAAUGUUUAUGCCUGCAUCAUAGUUCCUAGAUAAAAUUUAUGUUAAUGCUGACAUAUGUUCUUUCCUUUUAAGAGAAAGUUGCUGUUUCUUGAAAAGACAUCAGACCAAGACAGGAGAAGCAAAAGUGCAGAAGAGAGCUUGUAUCCACCUGGUUUCUGCUCAGUUUACACUGGCUAGAAGUAAAACGAACCCUGGGUAAUAGCAGCAUUCAGGAAACAAUAUUCUACAAUGGGCUCGAGUUUUGAUAUCUAGGGCCCAGGAAAUGCAGGUGAAAUCAUGUCACUCCUCAAAAGAUGCUUUCUUGCAAGACCUGGAGUAGAAGCUAAGACAAAUAUACCUACUUGGAACCUAGGAGAAAUGUGUUGAUGACUGGAAGUAAACAUUCUAGAGAACCUGGAGCCAAUUCACUAGUGUUAGAGAAUUUUUUUAGAGAACCUUUACAGACCACAACAUCAGGGGAGAUUUUCUCUGAGGAUAAAAAAAUCCCUGACAACCUCACCUGUAGUACUCCAUGCCAUGGCACCAGGAUGGGACACUGGGAUAUUUCUGAUUUGUGGUGCAGGAAUACUGCUCUCUAAAAUGCUGAUACUGUUUCUGGUAUUCUUGAUAUAUCUUUGGAGGACACAUUUUUGGCCUAAUUAUAAUAUCUGCAAAUGUCAUAAACCAGGACUGGAAUUCUACUGAGGACAUUAACAACUUCAUGGAGGCUUGGUAGAAAGAUUUAUUCCAUUGUAUAUUUUUCUCGCCAUUAAAUUUAUCCUACUACUGUCUUUGUCUCUCCCUACCACCUUUCACAUGCAAUAUUGGAAAUAUGCCAGUUCUGUAAGGGUUUGUUUUCUUCUUCCUGACUGACACAUAUACUCAGUUUGAAGAGCAAACAGCACAAAAGGUAAUUUUGUGAUCAAUAUAAAUAAAACUGACACUUUUCUGAUGGCAA